rnacentral:rRNA from 1 species
GACGGAGGGUGCUAGGGUUGUUCGGAAUCACUGGGCGUAAAGCGCGUGUAGGCGGUUCGAUAAGUCGAAUGUGAAAGCCCGAGGCUCAACCCCGGAAGUGCAUUCGAAACUGUCGGGCUUGAGUACGGGAGAGGGGAGUGGAAUUCCUGGUGUAGAGGUGAAAUUCGUAGAUAUCAGGAGGAACACCGGUGGCGAAGGCGGCUUCCUGGACCGAAACUGACGCUGAGACGCGCAAGCGUGGGGAUCAAACAGG